CAAUAGCGUAUAUUAAAGUUGUUGCGGUAAAAAAGCUCGUAGUUGGAUUUCUGUUGAGGACGACCGGUCCGUACCAUGUACGCGCAUCUGGUUCGGCCUCGGCAUCCUCUCGAUAGACGUUUCUGCGCUUGAUUGCGUGGAGCGGAUCUCGGGACUUUUACUUUGAGGAAAUUAGAGUGUUCACGGCAGGCUAUCGCCAGAAUACAUUAGCAUGGAAUAAAUAUUAUAGGAUCUCGGUUCUAUUUUGUUUGGUUUCUUAGACCCGGGGGUAACGUGAUUAAUAGGGACAGUUGGGGGUAGUUCAUAUUUAAUUGUCAGAGGUGAAAUUACUUGGAUUUAUUGAAAGAUGAACUACUGCGAAAGCAUUUACCUAAGGAUGUUUUCAUUAAUCAAGAACGAAAGUUAAGGGGAGUCGAAGACGAUUAGAUACCAU
rnacentral:rRNA from 1 species